CAACUCUGGUUUCUCUUCAAUCACCGCACAAGUUUUCGCCUUUACUAAAGACUUCCGUGGAGAGCAACGCUUACGAGUUCAACGUAUUUUUGGACGGGCUUUGCUACCGGCGAGCCC
rnacentral:snRNA from 1 species